ACUCAAAUGAAUUGACGGGGGCCCGCACAAGCGGUGGAGCAUGUGGUUUAAUUCGUCACUAACCGAAGAACCUUACCCAGGCUUGACAUCGCGUGAAAGGCUGUGAAAGCAGUCCCUCCCUUCGGGGACACAAAGACAGGUGUUGCAUGGCUGUCGUCAGCUCGUGUCGUGAGAUGUUGGGUUAAGUCCCGCAACGAGCGCAACCCUCACCGGAUGUUGCCAGCGUCAAGUCGGGCACUCUUCCGGAACUGCCCGUGCAAGCGGGAGGAAGGUGGGGAUGACGUCAAGUCGGCAUGGCCCUUACGCCUGGGGCUACACACAUGCUACAAUGGACAUUAACAAAGGGAACCGAUCCCGUGAGGGGGAGGCAAUCUCGAAAAUGUGUCCUCAGUUCGGAUAGCAGGCUGCAACUCGCCUGCUUGAAGCCGGAAUCGCUAGUAACCGCCGGUCAGCUAAACGGCGGUGAAUACGUUCCCGGGCCUUGCACACACCGCCCGU
rnacentral:rRNA from 1 species